GGCUGUCAGAGAGCCACCUCCUUAUUAUUCUCCGACACCUCCAAACACUCCUUACGUUCCAAUUACUCCUCCAAAAGCACCUUAUCAUCCAAAUCCACCUUAUGUUCCAACCCCUCCAAACACUCCUUAUGUUCCAAUUACUCCUCCGAGAGCACCUUAUGUUCCAGCACCUCCUCAAACUCCAACUGUUCCAACUCCUCCAGAAACUCCUUAUCAUCCACCCUAUGUUCCAAUACCUCCUCCUAAAACACCUUCACCUAUUUCCAGUCCUCCCUAUGUUCAUCCAAAACCACCUUCACCUAUUCAUUAUCCACCUAAUGUUCCAACACCUCCAAAAACUCCUUCCCCUGUAUACACUCCUCCCAAUGUUCCCACUCAAGCACCUUCACCUGCUAAUCAUCCUCCAUAUAUUCCAACUCCUCCACAAACUCCUUCCCCAGUUUAUACUCCUCCUAAUUUUCCAACGCCUCCAAAAAUACCCUCUCCUGUGUACACUCCCCCAAAAGCUCCUUCCCCUAGUAACAAUCCACCCUAUGUUCCUACACCUCCAAAAACACCUUCUCCUUCUUAUAAUCCUCCUAAUGUUCCCACUCCUCCCAAAACACCUUCACCUAUUUACACUCCACCAAAUGUUCCUACUCCUCCAAAAACACCAUCUCCUGCUUAUAGUCCUCCAAAUGCUCCUUCCCCUCAUAACCAACCAAAUGUUCCUACUCCUCCAAAAACACCAUCUCCUGCUUAUAGUCCUCCAAAUGCUCCUUCCCCUCAUAACCAACCUCCCUAUGUUCCUACACCUCCAAAAACACCUUCUCCUUCUUAUAAUCCUCCUAAUGUUCCCACUCCUCCCAAAACACCUUCACCUAUUUACACUCCACCAAAUGUUCCUACUCCUCCAAAAACACCAUCUCCUGCUUAUAGUCCUCCAAAUGCUCCUUCCCCUCAUAACCAACCUCCCUAUGUUCCUACACCUCCAAAAACACCUUCUCCUUCUUAUAAUCCUCCUAAUGUUNNN
rnacentral:lncRNA from 1 species